rnacentral:rRNA from 1 species
UACGGGGGGGGCAAGCGUUGUUCGGAAUUACUGGGCGUAAAGGGCUCGUAGGCGGCCAACUAAGUCGGACGUGAAAUCCCCAGGCUCAACCUGGGAACUGCGUCCGAUACUGGAUGGCUUGAAUUCGGGAGAGGGAUGCAGAAUUCCAGGUGUAGCGGUGAAAUGCGUAGAUAUCUGGAGGAAUACCGGUGGCGAAGGCGGCAUCCUGGACCGACAUUGACGCUGAGGAGCGAAAAGCUAGGGGGAGCAAACGGGG